rnacentral:rRNA from 1 species
GUGAGGAAUAUUGGUCAAUGGGCGCAAGCCUGAACCAGCCAUGCCGCGUGCAGGAAGACGGUCCUAUGGAUUGUAAACUGCUUUUAUUUGGGAAUAAACUCCGGUACGUGUACCGGCCUGAAGGUACCAAAUGAAUAAGCACCGGCUAACUCCGUGCCAGCAGCCGCGGUAAUACGGAGGGUGCAAGCGUUAUCCGGAAUCAUUGGGUUUAAAGGGUCCGCAGGCGGUCUUAUAAGUCAGUGGGGAAAGCCUACAGCUCAACUGUAGAACUGCCAUUGAUACUGUAGGACUUGAAUUCGAUCGAAGUGGGCGGAAUGUGACAUGUAGCGGUGAAAUGCUUAGAUAUGUCACAGAACACCGAUAGCGAAGGCAGCUCACUAGGUCUGGAUUGACGCUCAGGGACGAAAGCGUGGGGAGCAAACAGGAUUAGAAACCCCAGUAGUCC